UACGUAGGGUGCAGGCGUUAAUCGGAAUUACUGGGCGUAAAGCGCGCGUAGGCGGCUAUUCAAGUCAGAGGUGAAAGCCCGGGGCUCAACCCCGGAACUGCCUUUGAAACUAGAUAGCUAGAAUCUUGGAGAGGCGAGUGGAAUUCCGAGUGUAGAGGUGAAAUUCGUAGAUAUUCGGAAGAACACCAGUGGCGAAGGCGACUCGCUGGACAAGUAUUGACGCUGAGGUGCGAAAGCGUGGGGAGCGAACAGG
rnacentral:rRNA from 1 species